rnacentral:rRNA from 1 species
GAUGAACGCUGGCGGCGUGCUUAACACAUGCAAGUCGAACGAUGAAGCCCAGCUUGCUGGGUGGAUUAGUGGCGAACGGGUGAGUAACACGUGAGUAACCUGCCCUUAACUCUGGGAUAAGCCUGGUAAACUGGGUCUAAUACCGGAUAGGAGCGUCCACCGCAUGGUGGGUGUUGGAAAGAUUUAUCGGUUUUGGAUGGACUCGCGGCCUAUCAGCUUGUUGGUGAGGUAAUGGCUCACCAAGGCGAAGACGGGUAGCCGGCCUGAGAGGGUGACCGGCCACACUGGGACUGAGACACGGCCCAGACUCGUACGGGAGGCAGCAGUGGGGAAUAUUGCACAAUGGGCGCAAGCCUGAUGCAGCGACGCCGCGUGAGGGAUGACGGCCUUCGGGUUGUAAACCUCUUUCAGUAGGGAAGAAGCGAAAGUGACGGUACCUGCAGAAGAAGCACCGGCUAACUACGUG